CCUCAUCAUCGUCGUUAGCCACCAUCGUCCAUCGGUCACCUUCAACACUCAUCCUCAUCCAUCGUCUCUCUAGUGCUCUCAAAAUCGAUGAAUAAAUUGGAUGUCAAGCCCUAAUAUAUGAAAUAGGAAAAUAACCUAGAACAACAUAUUUCCCCUAAUUUCACCACAUAUAUCUAUGAACCGCAUACGUUUGUAUAACACACACAUGAAAGCAGGGCAGGUCCAAACGUAUAUGGGGCCCAGGGCGAAAUUAAAAAAAGGGCUUCUUAAAGGCAAAUAUAAUAAAGAUUCAAAAAAUAUCAUUUAUUCUUCAUUAUAAACACGUUCAAUUAGCCAUAAAAAGCAAGCCAAAUUGUUUAUCUUUUGAGCUAGUUUGAGUUUGAACCAACUUUAGGCCCUAAAAAUCAUUUAGGUAAUAAUUUUUUUAUAUAUAUACACUACAUAGCCCAUAAAGUUUGGGCCGAGUGCGGACGUGGGCCCUGGGCCGUCGCCCGGGUUGCCCAACGUCUGGACCGACCCUGCAUUAAAGAUUACUUGAAACAAAAAACAUGUCAAAUACCCAAAAAUUAUCAGAGAAAACACACACCCAUUAAUACAUUGAGGCCCACAUUUAAAGUUAAUAGCAUGAAAAUCUUGUUGGGAUCGAAUUCUUCCAACAAUGGUGAUAGGAAAGCUUGGUGAGGAAGAGGGAAGGGGCCAAUGACAAGAAAGCUUGUUGGUAUCGGUGUGGUGGGGGAGGUAUUUUUCAGUGAUGAAAGUGUUCUCCAACUGAGAUAGAAAGAAGAGAAAAGAGAGAAGGCUUCAACUUUGUAAUGGCCAUCCCGAUCUGUAUUCUCCGACCAUGCCCGGAGCCCCCGACCUCUCUUUCUCUUUCUUACACGCAAAUCACGUUAAAUUUUCUGGUGAUGGGAAAAGGGCCCCUUAAAGGCAAAUAUAAUAAAGAUUCAAAAAAUAUCAUUUAUUCUUCAUUAUAAACACGUUCAAUUAGCCAUAAAAGCAAGCUAAAUUGUUUAUCUUUUGAGCUAGUUUGAGUUUGAAUCAACUUUAGGCCCUAAAAUCAUUUAGGUAAUAAUUUUUUUAUAUAUAUACACUACAUAGCCCAUAAAGUUUGGGCCGGGUGGGGACGUGGGCCCUGGGCCGUCGCCCGGGUUGCCCAACGUCUGGACCGGCCCUGCAUGAAAGAUUACUUGAAACAAAAAACAUGUCAAAUACACAAAAAUUAUCAGAGAAAACACACACCCAUUAAUACACUGAGGCCCACAUUUAAAGUUAAUAGCAAGAAAAUCUUGUUGGGAUCGAAUUCUUCCAACAAUGGCGACAGGAAAGCUUGGUGAGGAAGAGGGAAGGGGCCAAUGACAAGAAAGCUUGUUGGUAUCGGUGUGGUGGUGGAGGUAUUUUUCAGUGAUGAAAGUGUUCUCCAACUGAGAUAGAAAGAAGAGAAAAGAGAGAAGGCUUCAACUUUGUAAUGGCCAUCCCGAUCUGUAUUCUCCGACCAUGCCCGGAGCCCCCGACCUCUCUUUCUCUUUCUUACUCGCAACUCACGUUAAAUUUUCUGGUGAUGGGAGUCGCCGAAGAUGGGGGACGAAGAGAUGAGAAAGGUUAGGGCGAUGGUUUCUUUUGGGAAGAUGAUCGGAAGUGUGGAGGGAGAUGGCAGAGAAGAAUUACAUCAUUGGUUCUUAUUUUAUGAAGCAAUAAAUUUCUUUUGGUUCUUAUUUUACUAGGUGUGAGACCCGUGUAUUACACGGGUUUAUUAAAAAUAAAAAUUUAAUAUCAAUAUUUAACCAUUAAAUAUUUUAUAAAAUAAUACUUUUACAUAAUAUAAUGUAAUAUUUUGGAAAAUUUAUAAAAGAAAUCAAAUAUUCUUUAGAUCAUUUAUUAGAUUUUAUUAUCAAAUUAAUAGAAUGAUUCUCCUCCCUUAUAUGAAAUUUUAUUUUAGAAAAAUGGAAAUUCCUAAAAAUGACAAGUGGAAAACAAUAAUUCUGCAACUCCCACAAAAUUACAAGUGGCAAAACUCUUAAGAAUUUGUCAAGUGGCAAAAAAACCUUCAUUUAUUAGAGAGGAUGAGAUAGAAAGAAGAGAAAAGAGAGAAGGCUUCAACUUUGUAAUGGCCAUCCCGAUCUGUAUUCUCCGACCAUGCCCGGAGCCCCCGACCUCUCUUUCUCUUUCUUACACGCAAAUCACGUUAAAUUUUCUGGUGAUGGGAAAAGGGCCCCUUAAAGGCAAAUAUAAUAAAGAUUCAAAAAAUAUCAUUUAUUCUUCAUUAUAAACACGUUCAAUUAGCCAUAAAAGCAAGCCAAAUUGUUUAUCUUUUGAGCUAGUUUGAUUUUGAACCAACUUUAGGCCCUAAAAUCAUUUAGGUAAUAAUUUUUUUAUAUAUAUACACUACAUAGCCCAUAAAGUUUGGGCCGAGUGGGGACGUGGGCCCUGGGCCGUCGCCCGGGUUGCCCAACGUCUGGACCACCCUACAUGAAAGAUUACUUGAAACAAAAAAAAUGUCAAAUACACAAAAAUUAUCAAAGAAAACACACACCCAUUAAUACACUGAGGCCCACAUUUAAAGUUAAUAGCAAGAAAAUCUUGUUGGGAUCGAAUUCUUCCAACAAUGGUGACAAGAAAGCUUGGAGAGGAAGAGGGAAGGGGCCAAUGACAAGAAAGCUUGUUGGUAUCGGUGUGGUGGUGGAGGUAUUUUUCAGUGAUGAAAGUGUUCUCCAACUAAGAUAGAAAGAAGAGAAAAGACAGAAGGCUUCAACUUUGUAAUGUCCAUCCCGAUCUGUAUUCUCCGNNNNNNNNNNNNNNNNNNNNNNNNNNNNNNNNNNNNNNNNNNNNNNNNNNNNNNNNNNNNNNNNNNNNNNNNNNNNNNNNNNNNNNNNNNNNNNNNNNNNAACUUUGUAAUGGCCAUCCCGAUCUGUAUUCUCCGACUAUGCCCGGAGCCCCCGACCUCUCUUUCUCUUUCUUACACGCUAAUCACGUUAAAUUUUCUGGUGAUGGGAAAAGGGCCCCUUAAAGGCAAAUAUAAUAAAGAUUCAAAAAAUAUCAUUUAUUCUUCAUUAUAAACACGUUCAAUUAGCCAUAAAAGCAAGCUAAAUUAUUUAUCUUUUGAGCCAGUUUGAGUUUGAACCAACUUUAGGCCCUAAAACCAUUUAGGUAAUAAUUUUUUUUAUAUAUAUACACUACAUAGCCCAUAAAGUUUGGGCCGGGUGGGGACGUGGGCCCUGGGCCGUCGCCCGGGUUGCCCAACGUCU
rnacentral:lncRNA from 1 species